UCUGUCGAGCUUGCUCACAGGCACAUCAUAUCCAUAACACCUGUGCACUUGUCGGAUGGCUUAGUGAAGACCGCAAGGUUGGAUCUAUCCAUCUACUUUACAUAACAAUUCUGUAACAAAUGUAGUCUUAUUAUAACAUAAUAAAACUUUCAACAACGGAUCUCUUGGCUCUCGCAUCGAUGAAGAACGCAGCGAAAUGCGAUAAGUAAUGUGAAUUGCAGAAUUCAGUGAAUCAUCGAAUCUUUGAACGCACCUUGCGCUCCUUGGUAUUCCGAGGAGCAUGCCUGUUUGAGUGUCAUGAAAACCCUCAACCCUAGAUUGGUUAAAACCUUUCUUUGGUUUGGAUUUGGACGUUUGCCGAUGAUAAGUCGGCUCGUCUUAAAAGUAAUAGCUGGAUCUGUCUCGCGACAUGGUUUGACUUGGCGUAAUAAGUAUUUCGCUAAGGACAUCUUCGGAUGGCCGCGUUGCAGGACUAAAGACCGCUUUCUAAUCCAUUGAUCUUACGAUUAAUAUUCUUGACAUCUGGCCUCAAAUCAGGUAGGACUACCCGCUGAACUUAAGCAUAUCAAUAAGCGGAGG
rnacentral:rRNA from 1 species